rnacentral:rRNA from 1 species
CCUACGGGUGGCAGCAGUCGAGAAUCAUUCACAAUGGGGGAAACCCUGAUGGUGCGACGCCGCGUGGGGGAAUGAAGGUCUUCGGAUUGUAACCCCCUGUCAUGUGGGAGCAAAUUAAAAAGAUAGUACCACAAGAGGAAGCGACGGCUAACUCUGUGCCAGCAGACGCGGUAAUACUGAGGUCUCAAGCGUUGUUCGGAAUCACUGGGCGUAAGGCGUGCGUAGGCGGUUUCGUAAGUCGUGAGUGAAAGGCUCUGGCUCAACCCGCGGACGGCACAUGAGACUGCGAGACUAGAGUAAUGGAGGGGGAGCUGGAAUUCUCGGUGUAGCAGUGAAAUGCGUAGAUAUCGAGAGGAACACUCGUGGCGAAGGCGGGUUCCUGGACAUUAACUGACGCUGAGGCACGAAGGCCAGGGGAGCGAAAGGGAUUAGAUACCCUGGUAGUC